CCCAGGACUCCCCUGUUUGCAUUUGCUCCAUGUCAGGCUCACUGUGCUUCACAGUAAAGCUUCAAGGAAUUUUGGUCCCUGGAAGCUGGUGGGGGGGCUGUGUCACUCUUGUGACAAAGGAGGUGGCCGAGACUCCCACCUGCCCUCCUUGCCUGAUAUAGCCACAUUCCUAUGGGUAUUCUGGUUCCAUUACAAAGAGUUUGGGAACUUUCAUAAUCAAAGAAGACUCAGUUGCCAGAUGGACUUGGAACAAAUCACUGAGCUUCUCUGAGCCUCAGUAUCCUCUCCUGUUGGAUUAUGAUAAUCAUACAUGACUAGGAGGAGAUGAACCAGGAAAUGGGUGGAGGAGGGAGCUCCUAUUUGAUAAAUGAAAGAACUGAGGAACUGGGGAACUGGGCCAGGAGCCCUCAGACGUGGCCACCAGGGGGCAGCCAAGUCCUUCCUACGUCUAUGGACUCAGAUGCUGUUCUGUUGGGAGCCGCGGCCGACACCGGUCGCCUUACUUGGCGGACGUAGGGCCUGUGGGUGGGAGCGGAGCCUGAGCUAGAUUGCCCCUCCCAUCGAGUGAGUCAAGUUGGCGCCUGCUUCCUGCCCCCUGAUUGCGCUGGUGACUUAAACAACCCGCUCUGUAAGAUAGUCUGCCUAGCAACAGCUGAUGUUAGCCAGUCAGCCCGCAUCGCGCGCUUUGAACUGAUUGGCUACUGUUGCCCUAUAAAAGUGAAUGCCUCUCCCGCCACGAGAGGAAGCACAGAGAGAGAUAGAAAAAGUCCACCGGCGAGAAAGGACUGGUGACAGAGAGGAGGCCUCGCGGGGCCCACGCGGAGACAAAUAAAGGCAAGGUUGCACACCGCCAGAA